UACGUAGGGGCGAGCGUUGUCCGGAAUGACUGGGCGUAAAGGGCGUGUAGGCGGCUUUAUAAGUCUGGAGUGAAAGUCCUGCUUUCAAGGUGGGAAUUGCUUUGGAGACUGUAGAGCUUGAGUGCGGAAGAGGUAAGUGGAAUUCCCAGUGUAGCGGUGAAAUGCGUAGAGAUUGGGAGGAACACCAGUGGCGAAGGCGACUUACUGGGCCGUAACUGACGCUGAGGCGCGAAAGCGUGGGGAGCGAACAGGAUUAGAUACCCUGGUAGUCCCU
rnacentral:rRNA from 1 species